rnacentral:rRNA from 1 species
GUAUAAGAGACAGCAGCCGCCGCGGUAAUACGGAGGAUCCAAGCGUUAUCCGGAAUCAUUGGGUUUAAAGGGUCCGUAGGCGGUCUUGUAAGUCAGUGGUGAAAGCCCAUCGCUCAACGGUGGAACGGCCAUUGAUACUGCAGGACUUGAAUUAUUGGGAAGUAACUAGAAUAUGUAGUGUAGCGGUGAAAUGCUUAGAGAUUACAUGGAAUACCAAUUGCGAAGGCAGGUUACUACCAAUUGAUUGACGCUGAUGGACGAAAGCGUGGGUAGCGAACAGGAUUAGAUACCCCGGUAGUCCCUGUCUCUUAUAC